rnacentral:rRNA from 1 species
GAUGAACGCUGGCGGCGUGCCUAAUACAUGCAAGUCGAGCGAACAGACGAGGAGCUUGCUCCUCUGACGUUAGCGGCGGACGGGUGAGUAACACGUGGAUAACCUACCUAUAAGACUGGGAUAACUUCGGGAAACCGGAGCUAAUACCGGAUAAUAUAUUGAACCGCAUGGUUCAAUAGUGAAAGACGGUUUUGCUGUCACUUAUAGAUGGAUCCGCGCCGCAUUAGCUAGUUGGUAAGGUAACGGCUUACCAAGGCAACGAUGCGUAGCCGACCUGAGAGGGUGGUCGCCCACACUGGAGCUGAGACACGGUCCAGACUCCUACGGGAGGCCGCAGUAGGGAAUCUUCCGCAAUGGGCGAAAGCCUGACGGAGCAACGCCGCGUGAGUGAUGAAGGUCUUCGGAUCGUAAAACUCUGUUAUUAGGGAAGAACAAAUGUGUAAGUAACUAUGCACGUCUUGACGGUACCUAAUCAGAAAGCCACGGCUAACUACGUG